CUCAACUGCUGAUCCAUCCAGGUGUCCCAAAUGUAGGGAAUUUCAUCCCAGAUCAUGGGAACUUGUAAAGCGUUGGGGCUCGUCUUUAUCUUUCUCAACUGUAGGGUGCCCUAUUUUUAACCACGCCUGCCUUUCAACUCAAGAGCUAGAGUUCUUUUCAAAUGGAUGUUAGCAUUAGCUUCUGGAGGCAGAAGAAACUUCUCCCAUAUAGAACACAUAGGGACACGCAGACACAAAGAAGAUGCCAACAAACUCUAGCCUUUGUCUCACUCCUAUUUGUGGAGAGGUUAUGAAAGACCUGAUGUUCCAAUCUCCCCAUUUGAUGAAAACAACUCCAGUUGCCAGGUCGCAUGACCACAUCUGGAUCCCAUCCAUCUGUUGUUUUCCAUUUCCAAUCAGAACAGGGCUGGUGUCGUGCAAAGAUACCAAAAGCUGCAGCAACAAAUCAACCCAAGGAAGACCGGAGUAUCUCCCCGAGCGAGCUGAGCGCUGGUUCCUCCCCCAAAGUCGGGACUUUCCUGAUGGAACCAGAGGGCUUUCCAGGUUCUGGUCCCUUGGCUGGCCUCAUCGCCAGCUUUCUGUAAUUGUAGACAGCAUUCAGGCAUGUGCAAAGAACCCCAUUCACCCCAUUGGGCCAUCUGAGCCUCAGGCUAACCUUCCACAUGACCUAGCAUCAUGCAAGAGGACCUGGAGACCCUGCUGGCCUUGGAAAGGGCUGAUAUCAUAGCUCAAUACCAUCAGGGAGAAGGAGCUGCCUGGCCCCAGCCCCCAUGAGGCCAAG
rnacentral:lncRNA from 1 species